rnacentral:rRNA from 1 species
GCAUAUCAAUAAGUCGGAGGAAAAAAAAACUAACAAGGAUUCCCCCUAGUAACUGCGAGUGAAGCGGGAAAAGCUCAAAUUUAAAAGCUGACGGUCUUUGGCCGUCCGCAUUGUAAUCUAGAGAAGUGUUACCCGCGUUGGACCGUGUACAAGUCUCCUGGAAUGGAGCAUCAUAGAGGGUGACAAUCCCGUCUUUGACACGGACUCCCAAGGCUUUGUGGUGCGCUCUCAAAGAGUCGAGUUGUUUGGGAAUGCAGCUCAAAAUGGGUGGUAAAUUCCAUCUAAAGCUAAAUAUUGGCGAGAGACCGAUAGCGAACAAGUACCGUGAGGGAAAGAUGAAAAGAACUUUGGAAAGAGAGUUAAACAGUACGUGAAAUUGCUGAAAGGGAAACGCUUGAAGUCAGUCGCGUCGUCCGGAGAUCAACCUUGCUUUUGCUGGGCGUACUCUCUGGUUGACGGGCCAGCAUCAGUUUUGGCCACUGGAAAAGGGCGGAAUGGAAUGUGGCAUCUUCGGAUGUGUUAUAGCCUUCCGUCGUAUACAGUGGCUGGGACUGAGGAACUCAGCACGCCGCAAGGCCGGGAUUUUAUCCACGUUCGUGCUUAGGAUGCUGGCAUAAUGGCUUUAAUCGACCCGUCUUGAAACACGGACCAAGGAGUCUAACAUACCUGCGAGUGUUUGGGUGGAAAACCCGAGCGCGUAAUGAAAGUGAAAGUUGAGAUCCCUGUCGUGGGGAGCAUCGACGCCCGGACCAGACCUUUUGUGACGGAUCUGCGGUAGAGCAUGUAUGUUGGGACCCGAAAGAUGGUGAACUAUGCCUGAAUAGGGUGAAGCCAGAGGAAACUCUGGUGGAGGCUCGUAGCGAUUCUGACGUGCAAAUCGAUCGUCAAAUUUGGGUAUAGGGGCGAAAGACUAAUCGA